AAAUCCGGAAAAUCAAGGCUGAGGCGUGAUGACGAGGCACUACGGUGCUGAAGCAACAAAUGCCCUGCUUCCAGGAAAAGCCUCUAAGCAUCAGGUAACAUCAAAUCGUACCCCAAACCGACACAGGUGGUCAGGUAGAGAAUACUAAGGCGCUUGAGAGAACUCGGGUGAAGGGACUAGGCAAAAUGGUGCCGUAACUUCGGGAGAAGGCACGCUGAUAUGUAGGUGAAGCGACUUGCUCGUGGAGCUGAAAUCAGUCGAAGAUACCAGCUGGCUGCAACUGUUUAUUAAAAACACAGCACUGUGCAAACACGAAAGUGGACGUAUACGGUGUGACGCCUGCCCGGUGCCGGAAGGUUAAUUGAUGGGGUUAGCGCAAGCGAAGCUCUUGAUCGAAGCCCCGGUAAACGGCGGCCGUAACAAUAACGGUCCUAAGGUAGCGAAAUUCCUUGUCGGGUAAGUUCCGACCUGCACGAAUGGCGUAAUGAUGGCCAGGCUGUCUCCACCCGAGACUCAGUGAAAUUGAACUCGCUGUGAAGAUGCAGUGUACCCGCGGCAAGACGGAAAGACCCCGUGAACCUUUACUAUAGCUUGACACUGAACAUUGAGCCUUGAUGUGUAGGAUAGGUGGGAGGCUUAGAAGUGUGGACGCCAGUCUGCAUGGAGCCGACCUUGAAAUACCACCCUUUAAUGUUUGAUGUUCUAACGUUGACCCGUAAUCCGGGUUGCGGACAGUGUCUGGUGGGUAGUUUGACUGGGGCGGUCUCCUCCUAAAGAGUAACGGAGGAGCACGAAGGUUGGCUAAUCCUGGUCGGACAUCAGGAGGUUAGUGCAAUGGCAUAAGCCAGCUUGACUGCGAGCGUGACGGCGCGAGCAGGUGCGAAAGCAGGUCAUAGUGAUCCGGUGGUUCUGAAUGGAAGGGCCAUCGCUCAACGGAUAAAAGGUACUCCGGGGAUAACAGGCUGAUACCGCCCAAGAGUUCAUAUCGACGGCGGUGUUUGGCACCUCGAUGUCGGCUCAUCACAUCCUGGGGCUGAAGUAGGUCCCAAGGGUAUGGCUGUUCGCCAUUUAAAGUGGUACGCGAGCUGGGUUUAGAACGUCGUGAGACAGUUCGGUCCCUAUCUGCCGUGGGCGCUGGAGAACUGAGGGGGGCUGCUCCUAGUACGAGAGGACCGGAGUGGACGCAUCACUGGUGUUCGGGUUGUCAUGCCAAUGGCACUGCCCGGUAGCUAAAUGCGGAAGAGAUAAGUGCUGAAAGCAUCUAAGCACGAAACUUGCCCCGAGAUGAGUUCUCCCUGACCCUUUAAGGGUCCUGAAGGAACGUUGAAGACGACGACGUUGAUAGGCCGGGUGUGUAAGCGCAGCGAUGCGUUGAGCUAACCGGUACUAAUGAACCGUGAGGCUUAACCU
rnacentral:rRNA from 1 species